rnacentral:rRNA from 1 species
UACAGAGGUCCUGAGCGUUGUUCGGAUUCACUGGGCGUAAAGGGUGCGUAGGUGGUGAGGUAAGUCGGAUGUGAAAUCUCCGGGCUCAACCCGGAAAUGGCAUUGGAAACUACCUUGCUGGAGGAUUUGAGGGGGGAUUGGAAUACUUGGUGUAGCAGUGAAAUGCGUAGAUAUCAAGUGGAACACCAGUGGCGAAGGCGAAUCCCUGGAAAAUACCUGACACUGAGGCACGAAAGCUAGGGGAGCAAACAGG